CUCCCCAAUUCAUCAUUCAACCCAGAUCUCUCUUGACUGUUGUCGGUAGUGGAGCCUUGAUUAUAGCAAACUGCUCUUAUUCCCUGCCCUGAUGUGGAUCACCAACAAAUGACCAGGGUGCCUUGAGUCUUCCGCCAGAAGCAAAUCGUAAGAGGAAAAGAACAAAUACAAAUGCUCAAAUUCUGCUCCAGCCAGGUGGGCAGAAGAUACAUGAGGAAAAUGGACACAGACACUUUCUGAGGAGAAAGUCUGAUCAGUGCUGAUGCCUGGGUCUCAUACUGUCUAAUCAAAGGGUUUGUGGUCUUCUAAGCAUUUUGUGGUGAAACAUGGAUUCAAUCAAUGCAACCACCCCAUCAAACGCACACUGCAUCUCAAACGCACACUGCAGGAUGAUUCUGAUAAUCAUCUACGGCAUGGUUUUGCUUGGAGGUACUAUUGGAACAGUAUUGAUGUCACGUUUGAUGUUCAAAAGGAAGAGCCGAUCAGUGAUGGCCACUAUUGUUCUUAAUAUCAUAGUGCUACACUCAAUCCUCCUAGUCAGCCUUCCGUUCCGCCUCAGCUAUUACGUAUUAAAUGUCUGGGAGCUUGGAUCCUUUACCUGCCGAUUGGUUAGCAGCAUAGUAUACUGUCAUAUGUACUUCACCUUUGUUUUCUAUGUGGCCAUUGUCAUACUCCGAUUGCUCAUCUAUUUUAACAAACUCCAAAUGCAAGAGUUACAAAAGUACCAUGCGGUAGUUUUAAGCAUUUUUAUUUGGAUGGUGGGUAGCUUAAUUUUUCUGCCAAUAUUUUUUUUACUAUACGGCAUAGAUCCAAGUUACUCAGGAGACCGAUGUUUUGAGUUCCACAAAGAUCUCAACCGCAGGAAAGUCAUUAUUGUGAACUAUUCUCUGAUUGUCGUUAUGAUCACAGUGGUCAUGACCCUCUUUCUGAUACAGGUGGGUGUCAUCGUUCAACUGAUAAGGGCUCUUUGGCCUGGUAUGUGGACCCAUCAAGAGUUUAGAGCUCAAAUCAAGAGCUUCUUUUUCCUUAUAGUGAUAGUUGUCUGUUUUGUACCCCACCAUGCAUUCCGGGUACACUUUAUUCAAAAUUAUUCAGGGACAGAAAAUUCUGAGCUAGUUCUUUAUAAUGAAAUUUUUAUUGCUUUAACUACUCUCUGUUGCCUGGAUAUGCUGUGUUUCAUAGGUGGAGUUAUUCAUUAAACCAUGUUAUGUCACUUGCUUUGUAAUCAGUUUUCUGUCAUUGUAACAAAAUAGUUUCAAUUAAAUGGAU